rnacentral:misc_RNA from 1 species
GAUGAAGAACGCAGUGAAAUGCGAUAAGUAAUGUGAAUUGCAGAAUUCAGUGAAUCAUCGAAUCUUUGAACGCACAUUGCGCCCAUUAGUAUUCUAGUGGGCAUGCCUGUUCGAGCGUCAUUAAGUCCACUUAAGCCCUGCUUAGUGUUGGGAGACUGCUCCAGCGGUGCUACCCUAUAGCUACCCUGCAGCUCCUCAAAGACAGCGGCGGAGUUGUGGUAUCCUCUGAGCUUAGUAACUUGUUCUAGCUUUCGAGUACACCACUUCCCCUGCCGUAAAACCCUUAAUUUUUAAUGGUUGACCUCGGAUCAGGUAGGAAUACCCGCUGAACUUAAGCAUAUCAAUAAGCGGAGGA